rnacentral:rRNA from 1 species
GACGAACGCUGGCGGCGUGCCUAAUACAUGCAAGUUGAGCGAUGAAGAUUGGUGCUUGCACCAAUUUGAAGAGCAGCGAACGGGUGAGUAACGCGUGGGGAAUCUGCCUUUGAGCGGGGGACAACAUUUGGAAACGAUUGCUAAUACCGCAUAACAACUUUAAACAUAAGUUUUAAGUUUGAAAGAUGCAAUUGCAUCACUCAAAGAUGAUCCCGCGUUGUAUUAGCUAGUUGGUGAGGUAAAGGCUCACCAAGGCGAUGAUACAUAGCCGACCUGAGAGGGUGAUCGGCCACAUUGGGACUGAGACACGGCCCAAACUCCUACGGGAGGCAGCAGUAGGGAAUCUUCGGCAAUGGACGAAAGUCUGACCGAGCAACGCCGCGUGAGUGAAGAAGGUUUUCGGAUCGUAAAACUCUGUUGGUAGAGAAGAACGUUGGUGAGAGUGGAAAGCUCAUCAAGUGACGGUAACUACCCAGAAAGGGACGGCUAACUACGUG